ACACACACACACACACACACACACACACACACACACACACACACACACACACACACACACACACACACACACACUGAGGAGGAGGAAGAGGGGGAGGUAGAGGGUGUGGCUGAGGUUUCCUGUCCUCCUCUCACCCUCUGAAGGAGCUCCUCCCUGAGUUUCUGCCCAGCCUGUCGGGGAACUCCAGCUCACUUCGACCUGAGACUCACUGAGAGCAGCUCGUCUUCAUCACAUCAUCUUCACCUCCAUCUCCAUCCUCCUCCUCCCAUCAUGGCCGCCUCCUCCAAGUCGUCCCAGAAGGGGAAGAACGUGGCGAUCGUCCUGCUGGCGCUCUGGUCCAUCGUGUCGCUGGUGGUCAUCGUGGUGUGGGCGACGUCUCCGGACCUGAAGAGCUCGGCGCAGUGCCGGGCCGAGCUGCAGAGGACCACGGAACUGCUGGAGGGUGCCAAGGUGGUCUGGGACCGGAACAAGGUGGCUCUGGAGGAGCAGGUGGAGGCGGAGAGGGAGAAACAGGAGCUCCACAGAGCCCAGAUCCUGGUCCUGCUGGAGCGCCUCAACGCCACCAACGCCACGCUGGAGGAGUGCCGGCAGGAGAACGCCGUCCUGAACGGGAACAUCAGUGUUCUGCAGGAGAACGUGGAGCAGCUGCGUCAGAUGGAGCUCAACCUCACGGCUCGCCUCGAGCUGCAGGAAGAACGCAUCGAGACCCUGCAGCACAACGUGACCCAGACCCUCUAUGAGACCACGUCCUGCCUCAGUCUGAAGGUGGCGGCUGAGAGCCAGAUGUUGGCGGCUCAGAGUCAAACUAAAGCCUGCGAGUCUGCUCAGCAGUACCUGCAGAAACAGCUUCAGAAGUGUAAAGUCGGGGAGCCUGAAGCUCCUCAGGAGACGCAGCCUCAGGACUCCGCCUCCCAACCGUCCUCCGCCGGCGCCGUCUCGCCCCUCUGUGGAAUUCCCGCACUGACGCUGCUCAUCUGCAGCGCUCUGCGUCUGAUUACCUGAGUACGACUGCGUCCAACAGUUAAUGACUCACACAUUGACUGUAAAUGAGUUGUAUUACUCCUGUUAGCAGAGAACAGCUCCCCCUGCUGGCCACUGCACAAACACACAGAGAAAUAACCACUUAAAUGAGCCCGGCGAGGCGUCGACCUGCCGAAUGACGGCGAGCACUGCGGUCCGGGCCGGAGGGGGCGGAGCCUGGACGGACUGAACGACUGCUGUACAAACUUCCUGAUCGCCAUGGAGACGCCACGCUGUCGUAUGACUGGACACAGACUUUGCUUGAAGAGCUGAGGCGUUCACUGACCGACUGAAAGAACUGUUUAUUUUACCACUUUCAGCUGUCCAUCAAUCAGUUCUUAUAUUGAUUUAUUGAUUAUUGAUUCACUGCAGAGAAACAAUCAGUCAGUGCACCACGAUGCAUUUAGGGACCUCCUCUGUCCUUUUACAAAAAUUGUUUGUGAAGUCAAAAUCUCCAGAUGAAAAAAUAUGUGUUUUAUAAAUCGUUCCAACAGAAUCAGAGAGGAAGAAAAGUCCACCGUCCGUCGACCAAUCACAAGCAGUCCUGCCCGAGCAAAGCUCUGAUUGGCUGCAGAGUCCAAAAUGGAGGAUGCUAACGUAGCUUAUUAGCUGCUCUGGUUCACACACUUGCAUCAGGAGUUUAAAUACAGUCCCACAGACUGCACUGACCACUGAGCACAUGAUCACUAGGAGUACUUUAUAUUAUUGAUUACAGUUCUGUGAGGCGGACUGAUUGGUUAUCUCUCUGCAGGAAGUGAUUGAUUACAACCAAUCAAAUCAAUGUAGAACUGAUUGGUUUAGAAAAUAAUCAGCAGGGAUCAAACGUGAAGCUCGACGUGACUUUUUCAACCCAGAGACCCCGUUUACACCUGACAGAGCACAGGAUGUCCCAGCAUGCACUGGGCUCAGCAGCGCCAUCUGGAGCCUGAACAUAACCCAACACAGCUGAUAUUGAUUGAUUUUAUGAUCAGUGAGUAUCAUCAGAUAUUGAUCAGUCGGGUGUUAACGGGGUCGUAGUGUGUAAACGACUGAACUCACAGCUUGAAGCUCCAAACGACUCGACUGACAAAAGCUUUUCUAUGGUGUGUGUGUGUGGGGGGGGGGGAAUAAACCUGAAGAGUUUCUACGAUGCUUUCUGUGUCCUGAUUUACAGCUGAACUAUCGCACUGUACUGGGAUCAGUUAACUCCCUCUAACCAGAGGAGGGCGGCCCACAUCCCCCAUCCUCCCCCAGCCUUAUUUUAUUCAAUUAUUGAUCAAUAAAUCACACUACUGAUCGAUAAAUCAAGUUAUUGAUCGGUGUCACUGUGUGAACUGUGUUUACACGCAGUGAGAACUGAAUGUUAGUGUCACACUGAUCAAUAACCACUGUUGUUCAGAUAAGAUUAUGUUUACUCAAUAAAAUCAAUCACAUUGAUCAAUA